rnacentral:rRNA from 1 species
AUUGAACGCUGGCGGCAUGCCUUACACAUGCAAGUCGAACGGCAGCACGGGAGCAAUCCUGGUGGCGAGUGGCGAACGGGUGAGUAAAGUAUCGGAACGUGCCCAGUCGUGGGGGAUAACGUAGCGAAAGUUACGCUAAUACCGCAUACGAUCUAUGGAUGAAAGCGGGGGAUCGCAAGACCUCGCGCGAUUGGAGCGGCCGAUAUCAGAUUAGGUAGUUGGCGGGGUAAAGGCUCACCAAGCCGACGAUCUGUAGCUGGGCUGAGGGGAGGACCAGCCACACUGGGACUGAGACACGGCCCAGACUCCUACGGGAGGCAGCAGUGGGGAAUUUUGGACAAUGGGCGAAAGCCUGAUCCAGCCAUGCCGCGUGCAGGAUGAAGGCCUUCGGGUUGUAAACUGCUUUUGUACGGAACGAAAAGGUUUGGCCUAAUAAGCUGAGCUCAUGACGGUACCGUAAGAAUAAGCACCGGCUAACUACGUGCCAGCCGCCGCGGUAA